rnacentral:rRNA from 1 species
UACGUAGGGCGCAAGCGUUAUCCGGAAUUAUUGGGCGUAAAGAGCUCGUUAGGCGGUUUGUCGCGUCUGGCCGUGAAACGUCCGGGGCUCAACUCCCGGGAUACUGGCGGUUGGGUACGGGCAGACUAGAGUGAUGUAGGGGAGACUGGAAUUCCUGGUGUAGCGGUGAAAUGCGCAGAUAUCAGGAGGAACACCCGGUGGCGAAGGCGGGUCUCUGGGCCGAUACUGACGCUGAGGAGCGAAAAGCGUGGGGGAGCGAACAGG